rnacentral:rRNA from 1 species
GAUGAACGCUAGCUACAGGCUUAACACAUGCAAGUCGCGGGGCAGCAUGGGGGUUGCUUGCAACUCCCGAUGGCGACCGGCGCACGGGUGAGUAACGCGUAUCCAACCUGCCCUUCACCACAGGAUAACCCGGCGAAAGUCGGACUAAUACCGUAUGUUGUCCAUUGACGGCCUCCGAUUUGGACGAAAGGCUUUGCGGUGAAGGAUGGGGAUGCGUCCGAUUAGCCAGACGGCGGGGUAACGGCCCACCGUGGCUACGAUCGGUAGGGGUUCUGAGAGGAAGGUCCCCCACACUGGAACUGAGACACGGUCCAGACUCCUACGGGAGGCAGCAGUGAGGAAUAUUGGUCAAUGGACGUAAGCCUGAACCAGCCAAGUAGCGGGCAGGAGGACGGCCCUAUGGGUUGUAAACUGCUUUUAUGCGGGGAUAAAGUGGCCCACGUGUGGGCUUUUGCAGGUACCGCAUGAAUAAGGACCGGCUAAUUCCGUG